UACGUAGGGUGCGAGCGUUGUCCGGAAUUAUUGGGCGUAAAGAGCUCGUAGGCGGUUUGUUGCGUCUAUCGUGAAAACCUGCGGCUUAACUGUGGGCUUGCGGUGGAUACGGGCAGACUUGAGUUUGGUAGGGGAGACUGGAAUUCCUGGUGUAGCGGUGAAAUGCGCAGAUAUCAGGAGGAACACCGGUGGCGAAGGCGGGUCUCUGGGCCGAUACUGACGCUGAGACGCGAAAGCGUGGGGAGCAAACAGG
rnacentral:rRNA from 1 species